AGAAGGAAGUUGAAUUCAUU
rnacentral:miRNA from 3 species